CUCUUCCACUCCUUCCAGGUUUCAUCUUCUCCAAGAUCUCCAGAACUUCAUUGAAGGAAAAGGGCCAAAACCCCCACCUUCAAAAAGAGUCACCAAUAUUGAAAGGAUUAUCAAAGGGAGAGAGGAUGAACUCAGAGCAAUUCAAGCAAAAGCCAAGGUGGAAAAAUCCAAAGAUUAGGAAUCUCUGCUUCCAUAAUAGCCUUUGAGCAAAACAGAAUACCUUGUAGCAGACAGUUCCAGAUUACGUGGUGAAACUGAGAACGUCAUGCCUAGAUCAUCCCUGUCCUUGGCAGUUUGUUUGGGAUAUUUUGCUAAAAUUAUGUGCCAUGAGCUACGUGCCCAAAAUGCGUGACAUUUUGAAGAUUCCGAGUCAGAAGAGUUGUCCAAAUAAGGCUGGGAAGACAAACUGGCAAACCAGCCUAGAAGAACCCAAGCAGAGUCCAAGAACUGAACAAAAGCCUCAAGACUGCUUCAUUCCUCCUGCAGUGCCCUGACUGGUAGAUG
rnacentral:lncRNA from 1 species